rnacentral:rRNA from 1 species
UGGGGAAUAUUGCGCAAUGGGGGAAACCCUGACGCAGCGACGCCGCGUGAAGGAAGAAGGCCUUCGGGUUGUAAACUUCUUUGAUCGGGGACGAAGGAAGACGGUACCCGAGGAACAAGCCACGGCUAACUACGUGCCAGCAGCCGCGGUAAUACGUAGGUGGCGAGCGUUGUCCGGAAUUACUGGGCGUAAAGGGCGUGGAGGCGGGGGGACAAGUCAGAUGUGAAAUACUGCAGCUUAACUGCGGGGCUGCAUCUGAAACUGUUCUUCUUGAGUGUCGGGGAGGAAAGUGGAAUUCCCAGUGGAACGGUGAAAUGCGUAGAGAGUGGGAGGAACACCAGUGGCGAAGGCGGCUUUCUGGACGACAACUGACGCUGAGGCGCGAAAGCGUGGGGAGCAAACAGG